rnacentral:rRNA from 1 species
CUUGACCUCAAAUCGGGUGAGACUACCCGCUGAACUUAAGCAUAUCAAUAAGCGGAGGAAAAGAAACUAACAAGGAUUCCCCUAGUAACUGCGAGUGAAGCGGGAAAAGCUCAAAUUUGAAAUCUGGCGGCUCCGCCGUCCGAGUUGUAUUCCGGAGAA